rnacentral:rRNA from 1 species
AUUGAACGCUGGCGGCAAGCCUAACACAUGCAAGUCGAACGAGUGGCGGACUGGUGAGUAAUUUCUGGGAAACUGCCUGAUGGAGGGGGAUAACUACUGGAAACGGUAGCUAAUACCGCAUACCAUCGGAUGUGCCCAGAUGGGAUUAGCUAGUAGGUGGGGUAAAGGCUCACCUAGGCGACGAUCCCUAGCUGGUCUGAGAGGAUGACCGGCCACACUGGAACUGAGACACGGUCCAGACUCCUACGGGAGGCAGCAGUGGGGAAUAUUGCACAAUGGGCGCAAGCCUGAUGCAGCCAUGCCGCGUGUAUGAAGAAGGCCUUCGGGUUGUAAAGUACUUUAAGUUGGGAGGCGUUACCAAAAGAAUAAGCACCGGCUAACUACGUGCCAGCAGCCGCGGUAAUAC